CUGGGUGAUGGCCCACGUGCAACUGCAGG
rnacentral:sRNA from 1 species